UUUGGAUAUAUGGUAUCCUUUUAUUUAUCUUUUUUUUUUUUGAGAUGAAGUCUUGCUCUAUCACCUAGCCUGGAGUGCAGUAGCGUGAUCUUGGCUCACUGCAACCUCCAUCUCCCGGGUUCAAGCGAUUCUCCUGCCUCAGCCUCCUGAGUAGCUGAAUUACAGGCGCCUGCCACCAUGCCAGGCUAAUUUUUGUAUUUUUAGUACUAACAGGGUUUCACCAUGUUGUCCAGGCUGGUCUCGAACUCCUGACCUCGAGUGAUCCACCCACCUCAGUCUCCAAAAGUGCUGAGAUUACAGGCGUGAGCCACCGCGCCCAGCCCCUUUUAUUUAUCUAUUAGCACUUGUUUAUUUCACCUAGCCCAAGGUGAAGGUAAUCAUUUCUGGGAACCUGAAUACUAGGAUGCAUGAAUUAUUAUAUUAAUCCUAUUUUUACUAAAUGCAUACUACAGGCAAAGCACUAUCCGCGGCACUGAGGAUAGUGCAGGGAAUGAGAAAAUGUCUCUGCUUUCACAGUUGAAAGGAAUAAAAACCAAUAACAUGCAAGUCUGGAGUUGAUGCUGCUAUGGAAAAAAACAAGCAGAGAAGAGGGAUGGGCAGUGCUGCUGAGGAGGGAUAUUAUUUUCCACAGGAUGAGGAGGGGCUAACUCUCUGAUAAGGUGAUAUUUGAGUGGAGUCCUGAAGGAAAUGAGAAAACAAACCAUAUCAACAUAGAGAAGCCCAUUACAGGCAGAAAGAAUGAAUUCUAAGAGUCUAGACAAAGGCAAACAGCCAACGGAGAAAUGGGCAAGGUAUGGAAAGGCUAUUAAAGACAUGGCCAAACACAACAAAAUGCUCACCCACUCCUGGGAGGAUUAUAAAAUAAAACCUCAAAUCAGACUGGCAAAACCUAAAACCCUGACAAUGGCCAGGCACAGUGGCUCACACCUGUAAUUCCAAAACUUUUUUUUUUCUUUUUUUUUUUUUUUGAGAUGGAAACUCGCUCAGCCGCCAAGUACCUGGGACAACAGGCGCACAUCAUCACGCCCAGCUAAUUUUUGUAUUUUUAGUAGAGACGGGGUUUCACCAUGUUGGUCAGGAUGGUCUCGAUCUCUUGAUUUCAUGAUCCGCCUGCCUUGGCCUCCCAAAGUGCUGGGGAUUACAGGUGUAAGCCACCGUGCCCGGACAAUCCCAGCACUUUUGAAAGCCAAGGUAGGAGGAUCACUUGAGGCCAGGAGUUUAAGACAAGCUGGGCAACAUAGUGAGACUCCAUCUGUACAAGUUAAAGAAUCAAAAAAAUUAGCCAGGCAUGGUGGUGCACGGCUGUAGUCCGAGCUUCGUGGGGGGACUGAGGUGGGAAGAUCACUUGAGCCCAGGAGGUUGAGACUGCAGUGAGCCAUGAUGGCACCACUGCAUCCAGUCUGCCAAUAGAGCAAGAUCCUGUCUCAAAAAAUAAAUAAAAUAGAAUCAACAACUAACAAGACCAAGUAUUCGUGAGGAUAGAAAAUAGAAAUUUAAUGCAGUAGUCUCCUAAGUAUAAUCACGUAGGACAGGGUACGGUGACAAAAAUCUAAUCAAGUUCAAGUUUAAGAUGUACAUAUCCUAUGAUCCAGCAACUUCCAACCACAGGUUAGUUCCGAAAGAAAUUAUUGCACAUGUGCACAAAGAGACACUCUCAAUAAUGUUCACUGCAGAGUUAGAAACUGUGAAACAAUCCAAAUGCCCAUCUGUAGGAGGAUGAAUUUCUCCUACAUCGGGGAAUAUUUACAGGAUAGAAGGCUACCUAGCAGUUACAAAGUCUCAAAAGCUAAAUAUAACAAUAUGAAUAUGUCACGAGCAUAAUAUCAAACAAAAGAAAAACAGGUUGCAGGGAGGAAGAAAUGAGGGAGGCUACUAUUUAAUGGGUAUGAAGUUUCAUAGUUUGGGGGAAAGAAUGGGGAGAUUAAACAGCUCUGGAGAUGGAUGGUGGUAAUAGUUGCAUAUAAUAUGAAUGUACAUGAUACCACUGAACUGUACACUUUAAAAUGGUAAAAAUGUAAUUUUUUAUUUUAAAAAAAUGGUCAAAAAUUAAAUCAAGUUGCUUAAGGAUACAUAUAGGGUUACAAUAUUAUAUAAAGUUUUAAAAUAUGGAAAACACUAUGCUCUGUUACUUAUGGAGUUAUACAUAAGAGUGAAGUAUAAAUAUGGAAUGAUAGGCCAGGAGCAGUAGAUCACGUCUGUAAUCCCAGCACUUUGGGAGGCCAAAGCGAGAGGAUCACUUGACGCCAGGAGUUCGAGACCAACCUGAGCAACACAGUGAGACCAUAUCUCUACAAAAUGCAAAAAUUAGCCGGGCACAGUGGCGGACACCUAUUGUCUCUAGCUACUUGGGAGGCUGAAGUGGGAGGACUGCUUGAGUCCAGGAGUUCAAGGCUGUGGUGAGCCAUGAUCAUACUUGUGGCACUCCACCCUGGGCAACAGAGCAAGACCCUGUGUGAUGGUUAACACUGAGUGUCAACUUGAUUGUAUUAAAGGAUACAAAGUAUUGCUCCUGGGUGUGUCUGUGAGGGUGUUGCCAAAGGAGAUUAACAUUUGAGUCAGUGGACUGGGAAAGGCAGAUCCACCCCUCAAUCUGGGUGGGCACCAUCUAAUCAGCUGCCAGUGCAGCCGGAAUAAAAGCAGGCAGAAGAACGUGGAAAAACUAGACUGGCUGAGUCUUCUGGCCUUCAUCUUUCUCCCGUGCUGGAUGCUUCCUGCCCUCGAACAUCAAACUCCAAGUUCUUCAGCUUUUGGACUCUUGGACUUACACCAGUGGUUUGCCAGGGGCUCUCAGGCCUUUUGGCCACAGACUGAAGGCUGCACUGUCAGCUUCCCUACUUCUGAGGUUUUGGGACUUGGAACGGCUUCCUGGCACCUCAGCUUGCAGAUGACCUAUUGUGGGACUUCACCUUGUGAUAGUGCGAGUCAAUUCUCCAAUAAACUCCCCUUCAUAUGUACAUCUAUCCUAUUAGUUCUGUCCCUCUAGAGAACCCUCAUUAAUACAAUAUGGAAUGAUAAACACCAAACAUGAAAUACUGAAGACAAUAUGGAACGAUAAACACCAAUUACAGGAUACUGAUUCCCUCUGAAAGAAAGAGAAGGAAAAGAAGUAUGAUAGGAUAGAAAUGAGGUCCACAGAGACUGCAAAUGAAUUUGUAAUAUUUAUUUCUUAAGCUAGACUAUAGUUAUAGUGGUACUUACUAUCUUAUUCACUGUAUCUUUUCAUAUGUAUAAAAUAUUUAAUCAUAUACACAAAAAUGACAAUAGAGGGCAUCAUUUUGUAAAAUUCAAACAAAAUUACCUACUGUAAUGUUUCUAGGUGUUUUUGUCUAGACCCUAUAAGGUAGGCACUGUUAUUUACCCCAUUUCACAGGUGAGAAAAGUGAGUCCCUUGCCCAAAAUUACACACACAAUAGGUGGCAGAGCCAGUAUCCAAACCUUGGUAGCCUUGUUUCAGAGACCCAAGCUUUCAAUUACUAAACCAAGCAGGUUGUUGGGAAAUAACAGAAUAUACACCAAGAGGAGAUCAGAUAAAUGCAAUUUGCUCAUUGACCAAAUACUUAUGUGGCAAUCAUGUGUCAGUCACCGUGUUAAGGGCUUUGAAUACCACAGUGAACAAAAAGGCAUAACACACAUCUUGCCUUCCCUAGGGGACUUUUCAAUUCAGAGCAAGGACAAUUAAAUAAGCAGUCACACCAACCCCUGCUCUCCUGGGUGGUAAAAGAAAGCACAAGUACCCUUCACCCAGAAGUGCCAAAUGCAGACUGUGGGAGGGGAGGGAAGGAGUUAGGGAAGGCUGCCAAAGACAAGACUUGUGAGGUUAUUUGUUAAAUCCAUAUUAAAAAAUAUUAUUCAGACAGUAAGAAGAGUGUUGGAGUGUUAUAUUUACUUCAUUUUUGUAUUUUGCAUUUUUUUUUUUUUGAGUUAAGAGUCUCGCUCUGUCGCCCAGGCUGGAGUGCAGGGGCAUGAUCCCCACUCACUGCAAGCUCUACCUCCCAGGUUCACAUCAUUCUCCUGCCUCAGCCUCCCGAGUAGCUGGGACCCACCACCAUGCUCAGCUAAUUUUUUGUAUUUUUAGUAGAGACGGGGUUUCACCAUGUUAGCCAGGAUGGUCUCGACCUCCUGAACUCGUGAUCCACCCACCUCAGUCUCCCAAAGUGCUGGGAUUCCAGAUGUGAGCCACCGCACCCAGCCAUCUGUUUGUUUUUUGAGAUGGAGUCUCUGUUUCCCAAGCUGAAGUGCAGUGACACAAUCUCGGCUCACUGCAACCUCCGCCUCCCGGGUUCAGGUGAUUCUCCUGCCUCAGCCUCCCGAGUAGCUGGGAUUACAGGUACCCACCACCACACCCAACUGAUUUUUGUAUUUGUAGUAGAGAUGGGGUUUCACUGUGUUUGCCAGGCUGGUCUCAAACUCCUGACCUCAGGUGAUCCACCCACCUCAGCCUCCCAAAGUGCUGGGAUUAGAGGCAUGAGCCACCACGCACGGCCUAUAAUUACUUCUAUAGAAAGAUAUGACACUCUGUUAACAAAAAAAAAAAAGUAGAAAUCAACACACAGAGUAUCUUCUGGGAAUGGAACAGCACAUAUAUCAAGUUUCAAUACGUAGUAAUGAUAGCUUAUCAAAUCUGUACUUUAAAGAUGGUUCAUCAAUAAAUGGUACUUGGGAACGACAUAAAAAUGAAUGCUAAGUUAUAUCCCAACUGGAUUAAAGAGUUGAGAUUUAAACAACUGGGCUAGGAAAGAACCAGAAAAUAUACAUAAGUAUUUUUAUAUCCUAAGGGUCUAAGCAUGACACUAAAAGGAGAAUUCACAAAGACAAAAAUUACUAGGUCUUAAAGAAAAAAGCUGUGAGACUUAUACUAUCAGAUUUUAAAACUUAAAAUUAACCCCUACGAGCCUUCUAGUUUCCAAUGCAGCAAGAAAGUUGCUUGGACGUCAUCACUGUGUCUUAACAAGUAAAAAGCUGAACAAAUUGAAAAAUCAACAACUGUUCUUAGAUCCAUCAGAGAAGUGAGGUCACAGGGCAAACCUGCUGUCCCCAUAAUUGGAGGGAAAAACAGGCAGGCACAGAGAAUCACAACUUAACAGGAGCAGAAACCUCCACAGAGACCAGCGCUAACACAGGGAAACUGAACUGUAAUUGACAAAGUGCUGGAGGCUCAGUGUGGACAAGUCUGACACAUAAAAAUUCCAGACAGACCCAGUCAUUAGGGGCCCUACACUUUUGUGAGUUUUACCUACUGGAGCUCUGCCAGAUUCUCACAGUAAGUAUACAGGGGGAAAUCCCUUGUGCUUCCGGUAAGGGGAGGGAAACAGGAACCAUUUGACAUGUGUCAGAGCAUUCUGUUGAUAACAAGGUCUGCUCCCAGGAGAAACGAUUUAACCAGAACCUAACUUGCUUGGUUUUAUCAGAGCCUAACUAACCAAGUGGAAGAGAAAUACCCAACUCCAGCCAGCACCGGCCUUCCAUGUAAGAAAAGGGAAAUAGCCAACUGCAGCACACUCUAGCCAACCUGUCCCAAGGGGGAAGAAAAAACUGAGAAGUAUUUGUGAAGUUCACAGUCCAGGGGUACAGCCUCACUAAAAGACUGAGACCUAGACUGGGCGCGGUGGCUCACACCUGUAAUCCCAGCACUUUGGGAGGCCAAGGCAGGUGGAUCAUUUGAGGUUAGGAGUUCAAGACUAGCCUGCCCAACAUGGUAAAACCCCGUAUCUAGUAAAAAUACAAAAAUUAGUGGAGCAUGGUGGCGGGUGCCUGUAAUCCUAGCUACUUGGAAGGCUGAGGCAGGAGAAUUGCUUGAACCUGGGAGGCAGAAGUUGCAGUGAGCCAAGAUCGUGCCACUGCACUCCAGCCUGUGACAGAGCAAGACUCCGUCUCAAAAAAAAAAAAAAAAAACACUGAGACCUAAUCAUAAGACUACAGAAUGCUUCCCCUCCCCAUACACCAUACCAUCACAUUAUUAAAGGUCUAGUGAGAGCAGUUCCUUUUACCCAGGAUAUCACGUUCAGUGACAAGAAGUUACAAGGCACACUAAAAGGCAAAAAGCAAAGUUUAAAGAGAUAGCACAAGGAUCCAAACCAGGCUCUGACACGGCAGGGAUGUUGGGAUAACCCGACCAGAUGCAAAGGGCUCCAGUGGAUAAAGUACACAGCACACAAGAACAGAUAGACAAUGUAAACAGAGAUCGAAAUCCUAAGAAAGAACAAAAUCGAAAUGCUGGAGCUCUAAAACACUCUAACUUUGGAAAUGAAGAAUGGCCUUGAGACUGGAUAUGGCUGAUGAAGGAAUCUCUGAGUUUAAGGAUUCUCAACAGAAACCUCUAAAACUGAAAAGCAAAAUGAAAAAAGACUGAAAUAAACCAGAAUGGAAUAUUCAGGAGCUGUGGGAUAACUAUAAAGGGUGUAAUGUAUGUGUAACAGGAAUACCAAGAGGAAAAGAAAGAGAGAAAAGAACAAAAGUAGUAUUUGAACGAAUAAUCACUCAGGAUUUCCCCAUGUUAAUGUCAGGCCCCAAACCACAGUCAGGAGGCUCCCAGAACACCAAGUAGGAUAAAUGUCAGAAAAACUAUAGAUAAGCAUGUAAGUUUCAAACCACAGAAAAUCAAAUAUUUAACAAAAUCCAGAAAGAAGACAGAGGGAAAAAAGCCUUACCUAUAGAAAAGGAAAGAAUGAUUUCAACUUCUACCCAGAAAGCAUGCAAGCAAGGAGACGGCAGGGUGAAAUAUUUAAGCCCUGAAAGAAAAAAUCACCACCUAGAAUCUGCACCCUAUGAAAAUGUCCUUCAACACUAAGGGAGAAAUACUUUUUCAGACAACUGGAAUCUGGGGGAAUUUGUUGCCAGUAGAUCUUCCUUGAAAGAAAUGUUAAAAGAAGUUCUUCAGAGAAAAGGAAAAUGAUACAGGUCAGAAACUCAGAUCUAAGAAAAGAAAGGAAGAACAUCAGAGAAGGAGUAAAAUAAAAAUGUUUAUUUUUCUUAUUCUUAAUUCAUCCAACAGAUAGCAAUUUGGCCAAAAUAAUAAGAUAGCAACAAUAUAUUGAUUAUGCAUGCCUAUGUAUAAGUAAAAUGAGUGAUGGCAAUGAUACAAGGACAGGAGGGAAGAAUCAGGAUUAUUUUGUUAUUAUAAGGAGGCCGGGCACAGUGGGUCAAGCCUAUAAUCCCAGCACUUUGGGAGGCCGAGCCAGGUGGAUCACUUGAGGUCAGGAGUUCAAGACCAGCCUGGCCAACAUGGUAAAACCCUGUCUCUACUAAAGAUUAAAAAAAUUAGCCAAGUGUAAUGGUGAGCGCCUGUAAUCCCUGCUACUUGGGAGGCUGAGGUAGGCAAAUUGCUUGAACCUGGGAGGUGGAGGUUGCAGUGAGCCGAGAUCAGGCCACUGAACUCCAGCCUGGAUGACAGAGUGAGACUCGAUCUCGAAAAAAAAAAAAAAAAGAUUAUUUUAUUAUCAUAAAAUACUUGUCCUACUCAGGAAGGAAUAUAGUGUUCUUUGAAAAUGGACUUCAAUUACUGGUAGACCUAUAUUACAAACUCUAGGGAAAACACUAAAAAAACAACAAGUGAAGUAUGAUUAAUAUGCUAAGAAAAGAGAGAAAAUGGAAUCAUAUUUAACAUACUCAAAACCACAAAAGAAAAAAUGUGGAAUACAAAAAUAGAAACAAAGAACAAGACCAACAAAUAGAAAACAUUAACAAAUACAGUAGAUGUUAAUCCAACUAUAUCAAAUCCCCUGAAAUGUAUGUGAUAUUGUUGCAAGAACAGACAAAUAGACCAAAGGAACAGAACACAGCCCAGGAAAAGAGUCACACAAAUAUAGUCAACUGAUCUUUAGCAAAAGAGAAAAAAGUGAAAAAAGUAAUACAAUGGGGAGAAGAUAAUUUUUUUCAACAAAUAGUGCUGGAACUAGAAAUCCACAUGCAAAAAAAAGAAUCUAGACGAACACCUUAUACCUCUCCCAAAAAUUAACUCUAAGUGGAUUACAAAAUUAAAUGUAAAAGGCAAAACUGUAAGAGUUCUAGAAGAUAACACAGGAGAAAGUCUAGAUGACCGUGGAUUUGGUAAUAGCUUUUUAGAUAGCAAACCAAAGGCAUGACCCAUGAGAGAAAAAAUUGGUAAGUAUUAAACAUUUUUGCUCUGCAGAAGACACUGCCAAGAGAUGAAAAGACAAGCUACAGACUGGGAGAACACAUUUGCAAAAGACAUAUCUGAUAAAGGACUCCAAAAUAUACAAAGAACUCUUAAAUCUCAACAAUAAGAAAAUGAACAACCCAAUUAAAAAUGGGCCAAAGACCAUAGCAGACAUCUCAUCAAAGAUAUAUGAAUGGCAAAUAAGCAUAUGAAAAAAUGUUCCACAUCACCUGUCAUCAGGGGAAUGCAAAAUAAAGCAACAGUGACAGAACUCUCAUCCAUUGCUCAUGGGAAUACAAAAUGGUACAGCCACUUUGGAAGACAGUUUGGCAGUUUCUUAAAAAACUAAACAAUACUCUUAUGAAACUACCCAGCAACUACACUCUUUGGUAUUUACUCCAAGGAGUUGAAAAUUUAUAUGCAAACACAAACUUGCACACAGAUGUUUAUAGCAGCUGGGUUCAAAAUUGCCAAAACUUGGAAGAAACCAAGAUGCCCUUCAGUGGGUGAGUAAACUGUGGUACAUCCAGACAACAGAAUAUUGUUUAGCUCUAAAAAGAGAUGAACUAUCCAUGUGAAAACACAUGAAAGGAACCUUAAAUGCAUAUUGCUAAGUGAAAGAAGCAAAUCUGAAAAGGCUACAUACAGUAUGAUUCCAACUAUAUGACAUUCUGGAAAAGGCAAAGCUACGCAGACAGUAAAAGAUCCAUCCAUGGUUGCCAGGGAUGAGGGAGGGAGAGAUAAACAGGCAGAGUACAGGAGAUUCUUAGGGCAGUGAAACUACCCCAUAUGACACUGUAAUGGUGGAUACAUGUCACUAUACAUUUGUCCACACCCACAGAUGUACAACCACAACAAUGAACCCUAAUGUAAAAUACAGACCAUGGCUGAUAAUGAUGGAUCCGUGUAGGUUCAUCAGUUAUAAUAAAUGUGCCACUCUUGCGGGUGAUGUUGAUAAGGAGGUAAUGUACGCAUGCAUGGAAUAGGGGGGAUAUGGAAAAUCUCUGGACCCUCUGCUCAAUUUUGUUUUGAGUCUAAAACUGCUCUAAAAUAUAAAGUCCAUUAAAAAAAAAAAUCCAGACCCCCUACCUUAUGCAAUACCCCCAAAUUAAUCUCAGAUGAUUCACAGACCAAAUUGAAAAAUAAUAAUAACAACACUUCUGAAAGAGGAAAACAUAAGAAACUAUCUUCAUGACCUUGGGGUGGGCAAAGAUUUCACAAAUAGGACAGAAAAAGCACUAAACAUAUACUUUUUUAAAGUGAUAAACUAGACUUUGUUAAAAUGAAGAGCUCUGUUUAUCAAGCAAUAUUAAGAGUUUAAACUGGCAAAGACAGGCCAGGCGCAGUGGCUCACGCCUGUAAUCCCAGAACUUUGGGAGGGCAAGGUGGGUGGAUCACUUGAAGUCAGGAGUUCGAGACCAGCCUGACCAAACUGGUGAAACCCCAUCUCUACUAAAAAUAUAAAAUUAGCUGGGCAUGGUGGUGCAUGCCUAUAAUUCCAGCUACUUGGGAGCUGAGGCAGGAGAAUCGCUUGAACCCAGGAGGCAGAGGGUGCAGUGAGCAAAGAUCACGCCAUUGCACUCCAGCCUGGGCAACAAGAGCAAAACUCCACCUCAAAAAAAUAAAAUAAAAUAAAUAAACUGGUAAAGACAGACUGGGAGAAGAUAUAUUCAGUACCUGUAUCUGGACUUGUAUUCAGAACCACUAUUACUUGCAAAAUCAUGGAGGAAUCUCUGAACACCAUGUUGAAUGUUAUUAUAAUAUUAUAAUGUUGAGAAAUCAGACACAAAGGCAUAAACAAUCGUUUCAUUUAUAUAAAGUUAAAAAACAAGCAAAACAAAAAUAAAUUUAAAAGUUCAAUAACAGGCAAAAUUAAUCUACGAUGAUCAAAGUUGGCAUAGUUGUUCACAACAUAUAAACUAUAUAAAUAGUUGAAGGCCAGGCACAGUGGCUCAUGCCUGUAAUUCCAGCAUUUUGGGAGGCCAAGGUAGGAGGAUCACUUGAAACCAGGAAUUCAAGACCAGCCUGGGCAACAAACAAGACCCCAUCUCUCAAAAAAAAAUAUUUUUAGCCAGGUGUGGUGGAGCACAUCUGUAUCCCAAUUACUAGGGAGGCUGAGGCAGGAGGAUUGCUUGAGUCCAGGAGUUCAAGACCAGCUUGGGCAACAAAAGGAAACCACCAUCUCCACAAAAAUAAUAAUAAUUAAUAACAUAUAUAUAGUUGCAAAAAUAUGUACAACAUGAUUUCAAUUUUAUAAGUGAAAUAUAGACACAUAUGUAUGAACAUGCAUAAAAACCGUAGAAGAUGUAAUGCAGUAUAGUAACUGUUUACCUUUGAAUUCUGGUAAAGUAUGAGUCAUUUUCUUCAAUAUCUAUGUUCUAAAUGUAAAGUUUUUAGCAGAUAUGCUAUGCAAUUCUUUAAGCUGAUGAAAGGAAAUGCCUUUGACUUCUUUAUUAUUGGUACUCUUGGUUCAAAAGGUCAGUAUUCAUUACAUUCAGAUCUAUUAUUUACUCUCCCCAUUUCCAUCUUUCCCAUUCAUCCCUCUAUACAAUGGCUUCCACACAAAACACUGCACCAUACUUCCUUUUUGACAUAGUAAUUAAAGACCAACUGGUAAAGCUAUUUUCUUUUUUGUCAUACCUUUACUUCGUAAUCUUUCUGGAAACUCACUGUUUCCUUGAGUUGCAUGGAAUUCAACCAGUAUCUUUAUCAAAUUCUUCCCAGACUCAUUCUCUAUGUGCUUCACGUUGAAAGCUUCAACACCCGCAGACUCCCUCUUUGCCUUCUUUAGGCACUUCUUGGGUCAUCCCAUCUGCUUACUUGCCUUUAACUACAAUCCGUUGCUAAAGAGAUGACUUUCAGAUCUACACCUGGUAUUCCUUCCCCAAUGUUCUCCUGAGUCUCCAAACCCAUAGAAGCUAUUAUCCACUAGACAUUACCUGAUGCCUCAACACGAACCUAAGAUGCAAUACACUUACAUUUCUCUAAAACGAUAUUAGGUAAAAGGUCUGGAGGGAACCAGUUUACUAAGGAGUUAGCCAGCUUGCAGACACUGGCUUUAGACAACAUAUUUGCACAAAUCAAGCACAGCAGUCUUGUCUGAUUUCAGAAGUGGCUGAAAGCAGGAUAGUAUUUUAGCUAAGCAGAGCAGGGUAAAAUGGCAUUAAAUCCAAGCUGAAUGGAAUCAGCCCUGGGGGAUCUAUGCCUGUGGAUAGGGGUCCCACGGUUUACAUGAAAGUUAAAGCCUUCAAAAAAGUGGUAGGAAACAGAUGUCCAGAUUAGCCAGAUGGGUUAAGGCUCAAGAAUAGACUUUGGCACUGAUGAUGAGAGGUGGAAAUAAACAAAAUAGGUCAAUAAGAAGGGAAACUUGUCAGAACCAUGAAAGGGAGACGAGCUCAUCCUAAAGCAAAGGAAAGAAGAAGAUAUAUUUCAUUGACUACAAGAAACUCUAGGAUAAAGGCCAUGCCAUGAUUUAAUGUACCAUUAUCUUAUGCUUCUCCUUUGUGAAAGUCUCAAUGCCACCAAUUAAAUGUAACAUGUCAUCUCUGGCUGCAUUCAAUUUUCAAAAUGUUCAAAAGUGACAAAAUGUGCAUGCUGCAACUCAGGAGUAGCUGAGACUUUGUCCUCAGUGUGCUAAGGACAGAAAAUGUGACUCUCAGGCCUCUAGGAUGGGAAGAAGGAUGCAGGGACAUCACACACUCCUGCUGCUCCCUACUACUGGCCAACAAGCAGGAAACUGAGCAGGAUGAAAUGACUACACUGUCUUUAACAUGACAAUCACAGAGAAGUGUAAUGAUAAGGAAAAAUACUUAUGACACGAUGUUAAACAAAAACAAAAGUAACAUAUAAGAUGGAAUUAAAUUUGCAAAAAAGCAUGCCCUCCCCCAGUGGAUUAAGUAGAAGUACUUCAAAUGUUAAUUACUGUGUUAAGGUCCUGGAAUUAUAGGUAAUUUCUUUCCUUGCUUCUUUGUAUUUCUCUUUACUUCCCCCAAAUUGCCAUAAGCAGCACAUAAUAUUUUUAUAACCUGAUAUAAGGCCAAAUGUGAAAUGUUUGUUUUUUAAUUUGCAAAUUGGCCACAUACAUAAAUUGGUUUAUUUAAAUAUUAGAUAGAGGGCUAUCUCAUUAAUGUACAAUAAGCCCCUCGUAGCAAUGGAACAACCAUUAUUUAGAUAAUGAUGUCAGGUCAGAGUAUCCUAACAUCUGUAGAGAGAGGGCCAAUGGUCAUUGUUAACGUGCAAUGCAAGAAAUUAUGUUGGUCAUUUUUCUUUUUUUAAAUAUGGGUUUCAAGAAUGUUAAUGCUAUUACUUAAACAGAGAGAAGAAUUAAAUAGUUCAGUUUACUACUGGAUCUUGACCUUGGCAUAAUCAUAGUUCAGCAGAAACACAUCUGGUCACAUUGCUGAUAAAAGUUUACUGCUAAAAGCUGGCAGCGUUUUCUUGUAUAAGAUAUAUUUCUCUUUUUUUAAAAAAAGGACUGUUUGACAAGUAGCUAUCGCGGACAGAAAUUGAAGUUAACACAUUUUUUACUCUGGUAUCUUGAUGGAAUUGGUUUUUAGCCCACAUACUCAAGUACCAAUAUAUUUCUCUCCUCAUAUUGAAAAGGAACAUUUUGACAAAGGAUAAAGAUCUGGAAAUGUAAACAUUGUACUUGCCAAGAGUUAAAAACAAAAUAUGCUACCUUCUUCUUUGGGUAGUACUAGAUCAGAAAUAGGCUGAAAAUCUUGGGACAAAUCAAAAUUUUUUGUUUAUAAAGUUUAAGAAAUUCUCUUCAAAUGCCUUUCCUUGCUCAGGCAUAGUAAAAGUCUAAUCAAAUAACAGAAGAUAACAGUAUGGAUGCUCUAAUUAAAAUAUCUGAAAUAACACUCUUAUUUAUAGUAAUCUGGUAUCACUUGAGUUUUUAUUUUUUAUUGUAAUAUAUUUAUUUUGAGACAGAGUCUUGCUCUUGUUGACCAGGCUGGAGUGCAAUGGUGCGAUCUCGGCUCACUACAACCUCCGCCUCCUCGGUUGAAGCAAUUCUCCUGCCUCAGCCUCCCGAGUAGCUGGGAUUACAGGUACCUGCCACCACUCCUGGCUAAUUGUUUUUUUGUAUUUGUAGUAGAGACGGGGUUUCACCAUAUUAACCGGGCUGGUCUUGAACUCCUGACCUCAAGUGAUCUGCCCACCUCAGCCUCCCAAAGUGCUGGGAAUACUGGCGUGAGCCACCGCGCCCAGCCAGCAUUUGAGUUUUUAUGUUUGACCCUAGCUAACACAUAUAACUACAAAAUAUAUGUUUUAAGUGCUAAACAACAGUAAAACAAAUCUUUCUUAAUAGCAUCUACUAUGUCUUAUAAGAUCAGACAUUCAGAAGGAAAUAACAGCUUGAGUCAAUUUAAAGGAAAAUUUUUAAGAGCAGCAUCCUGCCACAGAUCUUCUCUCACAAGGCAACAAAAACAAUGCCAAGAACAAGAAACAACAACUCUUAAUUGCUACAAAAUGCUCAGAAAGUCAUUGCCCUAAUGUGUGGGCAGUUUAAAUUGCCCAAAGAAACAUUCCAACAAGAAUUACAUAGAGACAAUAAUGACUUCUAUUUAAGAUGCUCCUGGGUUGAAAUUAUUUUCUAACUUUAAGUUACUGCAUUACUGUCAUGAGCAAACCCAAAGUAAUUACAAUUGAAUUCAUCACCCAAAGGCUAGUGACUUUGAGGUAAGAAUUCAGUUUUUGGAACAUUUUGACCAAAGACAGGAAGUAAACUAUUAAGCUAUUGUGUUAAUGUUUCCUUGUCAUCUUCCAUACUCAAAGAACACAGCCUAGAUAACAAUGUCAGAUGGGCCUGACUUUGCCAGCUCCUGCUGUUUAACUCCCAUUUAAAUCCAUUCUAAUUUUUAUGCUAUGUAAAUCCAAGACCGCUUAGAAACUAAAGUAAGGCCUUUUUGCAUUUCUUAAAUAACAUCAGUAUUAAUAACCAAAGAAAGCAUGGAUUUAACUUCGGGCAUAAAACAGCAAAAGAAACCCACAAAGAUUUAAUCAGCUGGACAACUGGUAAAACACAUAUGGUACUUUACAAAUCUCUGUUGAGUUUCCACCCAUUCAUUCUUUUAAGAAACAGACUGGGUGCAGUGGCUCACACCUGUAAUCCCAGCACUUUCGGAGGUUGAGGCAGGCGGAUCACUUGAGGUCAGGAGUUUUGAGACCAGCCUGGCCAACAUGGUGAAACCCCAUCUCUACUAAAAAUACAAAAAUUAGCCGGGCAUGGUGGUACACACCUGUAAUCCUAGCUACUGGGGAGGCUGAGGCAUGAGAAUCACUUGAACCCAGGAGGCAGACGUUGCAGUGAGCCAAGAUCACACCACCGCAAACCAGCCUAGGCAACAGAAAGAGACUCCAUCUCAAAAAAAGAAAAAAAAGAAGAAAAAAAGAAACAUUUAUCAGGCCUGGAGCAGUGGCUCAUGCCUAUAAUCCCAACACUUCCAAGGCAGGAAGAUUGCCUGAGGCCAGGAGUUUGAGAUUGUCUCUACAAAAAAAAAAAUCAAAAAAUUAACUAGGCAUGGCAGUAUGUGCCUGUGGUCCCAGUACUUGGAAGGCUGAGGAAGGAGGACCGUUUGGGCCCAGGAGUUGGAGGCUCCAGUGAGCUAUGAUGGUGCCACUGUGUUCUAGCUUUGGUGACAGAGCAAGACCCAGUCUCCAAGAAAAAAAUGGAAGCAUUUAUCAAAUACCUUAAAGUGUACUAUGCUAGACAUUGUGCAGAAUUCAGACAUAAGGAAGGAAUCCAGCUCAGGAGAGAGCAGCUAAGACAAAACAGAAGAAAAACAGUGUUUUUUAAUAGAUAUAAAACUUAGGAAGGGAAAAAGGGGCAGCUAAUUGUAAUCAGAAAAGACUUUGCAGUAUAGUAAUCACAAAACUGGGUCUAGGAGGUGCACAGAAUUUCUACAAGUCAAAGAAUGGAAAGAAAGAACAUUCCUUCCAAAAUCUGGGGAGACAGUAACCGAAGACUCAGAAGGGAGAAGGUGGUGGGUACAUGUGCAGAAAUGGUAACGUAAGCAGGGAAGCAUGGCCCUCCUGGGGAAUACGGUGAAAAAUGAGCCAGGAAAUGUACAUCGAGGCCAGACAGUGAUGGGUUAGGAAUGUCAAAGUAAGCGCUGGGCACAGGAGAGAAAGGCAAGUUUUCUGGGACAGUGACUCCCAUAUCUGGCUGCAUACCAAAUGACGCCUGGGAUGUCUAACAAGCAGAUCUCAGAUGCCAUGAGGACCAGGAAACUGUCAUUUUUUUAAGCUCCUGGGGUGAUUGUCAUUAUCAGUCAAAUGUCAAGAAGGCAUAAAGAACGCUUAGAAAAGUGACAGAAAGGAAGCAAGGAAGGAAGGAAGGAAGGAGGAUUAAUGGAAAAGCAGAACCAGAUGGUUACUUUAGGUGAAAAAGAAAAGGAAGGUAAGUAUGCCAUAUGAAAACACACAAGAAAGGCCAAAUGUUUGCAGAAAAUGACAUUCAGUGUGAACAUUCUGAGGCUAUUGAUGGCUUAGGAAAUGUGGUUCUAGAAAUUCAGGAAAAUUAACUUCAUAUUUAAAUGUAUACUAUUUGCAGACCCUUUUUUUUUUUUUUUUUUUUUUUUUUUUUCAGAUAGGGGUCUCACUGUCACCCACGCUGGAGUGCAGUGGCGCAAUCUCGGCUCACUACAACCUCUGCCUCCCAGGCUCAAGUGAUUCUCCCACCUUAGCCUCCUGAGUAGCUGGGACCACAGGAAUGGUGACAGGAAUUUCUCUGCUAUAAGAAAAUCAACCGUGCAAUACCUCUGACAAGUGGCAGAUGACACUCAGCCUCAGGGCUGAAGAAACAGCAAGACGGGAGGAGUGUGGGAAACUGAAAACCACAGGGCUUCCUGGAAAAGAUAAGUACUCCUUGGCUCUUGACAACUUUUGCCAGAUCAUCUUUUCAAAGUCAAAAGUCCAGAUUUUAUGUAAAACCUCUUGGUUUUUCAGCGUUGGCUCCAAAAAAAAGUGAUAAACAGGCUGUAGGAAAAGCAAAACCUACUUCUUAUCAACGCAGGGCUUGAGACCUCUGGGCUUAAGGAGAAAAUGGAUUGCAUAUCAUCUGGGCUAUUCACAUAAUUAUAAUCAUCAACUGAGUUUCUGAAGAAUACUGAGCCCCAGUAGGUUCAAGGUUAUACUCCUUGACAAGUGUGGUCUGUUGUGCUGUAUGUAGACUGUAAAUGUGGCCAUCGACUCCUCCUGUCCCAGUACCCAAGUGCCCCUGCCCUGUAGAUCUGAGUGCCUUCUCAUUGACUUGAAGCUCCACCGUGUGACUAGCUUUGGUCCAUGGGAAGUGAGCAAAUGUGAUACAAGCAAAGGCUUGAAAGAUGCUCGUGCAAUGGGGCUUGCCCCCCUCGCUGCUCUUUGAAACCCUGCCACCCUGUGAUAAAGUGCAGCAUAGCUGCUGGGGGAUGAGAGGCCAUGUGAGUAGAGGCCCCUGGGCCCCAGCCCAGCCCAUCAUCAACCAGCAAAGUCACCCAAGACCAAAAGACUUCCAGGCUGAUUUGAAGAAUUAUGAGCUAAAUAAAUUAUUGUUAGUUAGUUUGAGGUGGGUGGUUGCAGCAAAAGAGAACUGACACAUAUUAAAAUAUAUCAGUACCUUCCUAUCAAGAAAUGGCUUUUUUCUUGUCUCAUCACCACCAGGCCUAUUAACAUGAAGUGUGUUACACAUUCUUGUCACUUUUAUUAACCUCUGUUUUGACAAAAGCAUACAGCUACUCAGAGAGCAAAAGCUUUCUCAUUUGCCUAAGGUGUUUGCUUCUACACAGCAUCCACAACAAAUACCUGGCUCUCCCAAAAGUCCUGGUGGACCACUCACUGUGAAAACUCCUCUAAGGGGCAGAACUGUCAGAAAGAGUCUGAUAUAAUCUGGCUCUGUCCCCACCCAAAUCUCAUGUUGAAUUCAUAAUCCUCAAUGUUGGAGGAGGGGCCUGGUGGGAGAUGGCUGGGUGAUGGGGACGUCCCCCUUGCUGUUCUCGUGAUAAUGAGUAAGUUCUCACGAAAUCUGGUUGUUUAAAAGUGUGUAACAUUUCCCUUCCCCCUUCAUUCUCUUCCUCCUGCUGUGUGAAGAUGUGCCUGCUUUCCCCUUUGCCUUCUGCCAUGAUUUUAAGUUUCCUGAGGCCUCCCCUGCCGUGCUUCCUGUACAGCCCGCAGAACUGUGAGCCAAUUAAACCUCUUUUCUUCACAAAUUACCCAGUCUCAGUUAAUUCCUUAUGGCAAUGCGAGAACAGACUAAUACACAGUUACAUGCUUUGGAGCUGGAGGGAAGACUGAAACCCUUUUAGGGAAAGGUUUAGUACCCUGAAAAAGCCACUAGCCUGAAUAUAAUACAGACAAUUGACAAAGUCUAGAUUCCCCUGAAAAGAUACCAGAGUACAGGUGGUAUUGCAGUUACUUAGAAAAAGAAAUUCUAAUUAAAAAAAUAAAAAAUAAAUAGGCCACCCAACCACCCAGAGAACAUUAUUACUUCCUAGUGUGUGUGUAAGGUCAAAAGCCCCUCCCAGGUUUAAAAUAAACCUAUUGACUGUCAAGCUGCCCUUCUUGUUUCUCUCUUCUUUCUUUAAUUCUUACAGUGUGCUCAAAGAUGACAUGGCUGCAAGAGGCUCAGCAAAUAGCUGAACUUGUUGACUUGCUGUAUGAGCUGACUUGCUGUAUAAAAUUAGCAUUAUCAACAUUAAAGGAAACUUCCAAAAUA